rnacentral:rRNA from 1 species
UACGGAGGAUCCGAGCGUUAUCCGGAUUUAUUGGGUUUAAAGGGUGCGUAGGCGGACUUAUAAGUCAGCGGUGAACUUUUGCAGCUUAACUGCAAACGUGCCGUUGAAACUGUAGGUCUUGAGUGUAGAUAAGGUAGGCGGAAUGUGUUGUGUAGCGGUGAAAUGCAUAGAUAUGACACAGAACCCCGAUUGCGAAGGCAGCUUACCGGGUUACCACUGACGCUGAUGCACGAAAGCGUGGGGAUCAAACAGG